UCCUGGGGACUCGGGAAGAUGCUGGAACGAGGAAACAGCAUCUUGAGCCCAGUGAGACAGGAUGGGCAAGGAAGGAGACUGUAUCUCAGAUCAGCCAGGCAUCUAAGUCACAGGUGAGCCAGCACCCAAGAAGGCGUGCAUCUUCCUAGGCAGGAGUGGCCACUAUCUGACCUGGUCCCCCUGGUUUCUCUUUGCAAAAUGACUACCAUGAAGUAGACAUGGAGCCACGGGCUUGGGAGUAGUGAAAUAGCCAAGGGCAGAGGAAUUCUCACAUUGUUCACAGUAUCAG
rnacentral:lncRNA from 1 species